rnacentral:rRNA from 1 species
UACGUAGGGGGCAAGCGUUGUCCGGAAUCAUUGGGCGUAAAGAGCGUGUAGGCGGCCCGAUAAGUCCGCCGUGAAAGUCCAGGGCUCAACCCUGGAAUGCCGGUGGAAACUGUCGGGCUGGAGUCCGGAAGAGGCGAGUGGAAUUCCUGGUGUAGCGGUGAAAUGCGCAGAUAUCAGGAGGAACACCCGUGGCGAAGGCGGCUCUCUGGGACGGUACUGACGCUGAGACGCGAAAGCGUGGGGAGCGAACAGG